UGGGGAAUAUUGCACAAUGGGCGCAAGCCUGAUGCAGCAAUGCCGCGUGAGUGAAGACGGCCUUAGGGUUGUAAAACUCUUUCGCUAGGGAAGAUAAUGACGGUACCUAGUAAAGAAGCCCCGGCUAACUCCGUGCCAGCAGCCGCGGUAAUACGGAGGGGGCUAGCGUUGUUCGGAAUUACUGGGCGUAAAGCGCGCGUAGGCGGACUGAUCAGUCAGGGGUGAAAUCCCGGGGCUCAACCCCGGAACUGCCUUUGAUACUGUCAGUCUUGAGUCCGGAAGAGGCGAGUGGAAUACCGAGUGUAGAGGUGAAAUUCGUAGAUAUUAGGUGGAACACCAGUGGCGAAGGCGCCUAACUGGUCCGGUACUGACGCUGAGGAACGAAAAGCGUGGGGAGCAAACAGGAUUAGAUACCCUGGUAGUCCACGCCGUAAACGAUGAGUGCUAGAUGUUGGGAUUUCGGAUUUCAGUGUCGCAGCUAACGCAUUAAGCACUCCGCCUGGGAGUACGGCCGCAAGGUUAAAACUCAAAUGAA
rnacentral:rRNA from 1 species